rnacentral:rRNA from 1 species
URSSGCGKCUUAMCAUGCAAGUCGACGGUGAACACGGAGCUUGCUCUGUGGGAUCAGUGGCGAACGGGUGAGUAACACGUGAGCAACCUGCCCCUGACUCUGGGAUAAGCGCUGGAAACGGCGUCUAAUACUGGAUACGAACCACGAAGGCAUCUUCAGUGGUUGGAAAGAAYUUCGGUUGGGGAUGGGCUCGCGGCCUAUCAGCUUGUUGGUGAGGUAAUGGCUCACCAAGGCGUCGACGGGUAGCCGGCCUGAGAGGGUGACCGGCCACACUGGGACUGAGACACGGCCCAGACUCCUACGGGAGGCAGCAGUGGGGAAUAUUGCACAAUGGGCGCAAGCCUGAUGCAGCAACGCCGCGUGAGGGAUGACGGCCUUCGGGUUGUAAACCUCUUUUAGCAGGGAAGAAGCGAAAGUGACGGUACCUGCAGAAAAGCGCCGGCUAACUACGUGCCAGCCGCGSGGUAAUAC